rnacentral:rRNA from 1 species
AAAGCGUGCGCAGGCGGUUUUGUAAGUCUGAUGUGAAAUCCCCGGGCUCAACCUGGGAAUUGCAUUGGAGACUGCAAGGCUAGAAUCUGGCAGAGGGGGGUAGAAUUCCACGUGUAGCAGUGAAAUGCGUAGAUAUGUGGAGGAACACCGAUGGCGAAGGCAGCCCCCUGGGUCAAGAUUGACGCUCAUGCACGAAAGCGUGGGGAGCAAACAGGAUUAGAUACCCCAGA